UACGAAGGGGGCUAGCGUUGUUCGGAAUCACUGGGCUUAAAGGGCGCGUAGGCGGGUGCUCAAGUCCGGGGUGAAAUCCUCCAGCUCAACUGGAGAACUGCCUCGGAUACUGGGUGUCUCGAGUGUGGUAGGGGUAUGCGGAACUAUCGGUGGAGCGGUGAAAUGCGUUGAUAUCGAUAGGAACUCCGGUGGCGAAGGCGGCAUACUGGACCACUACUGACGCUGAUGCGCGAAAGCCAGGGGAGCAAACGGG
rnacentral:rRNA from 1 species